rnacentral:rRNA from 1 species
GACGAACGCUGGCGGCGUGCUUAACACAUGCAAGUCGAACGGAAAGGCCCUGCUUUUGUGGGGUGCUCGAGUGUCGAACGGGUGAGUAACACGUGAGUAACCUGCCCUUGACUUUGGGAUAACUUCAGGAAACUGGGGCUAAUACCGGAUAGGAGCUCCUGCUGCAUGGUGGGGGUUGGAAAGUUUCGGCGGUUGGGGAUGGACUCGCGGCUUAUCAGCUUGUUGGUGGGGUAGUGUCUUACCAAGGCUUUGACGGGUAGCCGGCCUGAGAGGGUGACCGGCCACAUUGGGACUGCGAUACGGCCCAGCCUCCUACGGGAGGCAGCAGUGGGGAAUAUUGCACAAUGGGCGGAAGCCUGAUGAAGCAACGCCGCGUGCGGGAUGAAGGCCUUCGGGUUGUAAACCGCUUUCGCCUGUGACGAAGCGUGAGUGACGGUAAUGGGUAAAGAAGCACCGGCUAACUACGUG